GCGGUUCUGUACAAGUGCGGACGAGGGAGCUCUUGUACUGUGUAUCUUUGCUUUUACAACAUCAGAUGUUAUGUAAACCGCCUCGUAGAUGAGAAAACCCAAACGAAAAACAAGCACCCUCUAAAAUUAAAACCUGAGCUCUUGCCAAUGCCGUUUUCUUUUUAUCCACAACCUUAGGUCUCUGUCUAUAGUGGUAUUUUUUUACCAUCUAAAGAUAAAGGCAUAGUGAUUGAUGAUGGGGAGACGCCCAAGUAUUGCUCUCUCCAGAAAUACACAUUGUUCCUUUUAUAAAAAAAAAAAAAAGUCUAGCGAGAAGGGACUGGCUGCAGUCUCAGACUGGUUCCAGCCAGAUAAGUCCCUGCUUUAUUUUUUAUUUUUUUGUCUUAUCUGAUAUUGAAUCACUCUUGCCUUGUUUGUCUAAAAGGAACCAGGAAGACGUUUUUCUAAUCAACAGAAAAUAACCUUCUAGCAACAGAGAACUCUGAGAGCUUCAUAUCCCUCCCACUAGCUGAUGACAGAGUUGAAGCAGGAUCCAUUACAGCUCAGGAGACAGGCACGUACUCAAGAAAGCACAUUGGAAAAUUCAAGAAGACUCUGCAUAUCCAGGGGACGAGAGAGGACGCAAGGUGCAACUUUUGCAGAAGACUAUUUUUAAGAUUAUUUUGUCUUUUUUAAAUUUUUUAAAUUUUUUGUGGAUUUAUUUGAAAAGAAAAGUGAAGAGAUCAUUCUAUUGCUUUUUUUAUGUUUUUUUUUAAAUGCUUCUAUUACUUUUUUAAUCUACCAAGACCAAAAGCGAACAAUUCUUAUGCUUUCUGUCAAGGACUUGAAUGAUAUUGGGCCACGUGUUUGGAAAGGUGAUUUUGUUUAUUCAUUUUUGUUUUUACGUGCAAUGUAUUUUCUGUAACUUGCCAAUAUUAUAUCAUUUUAUUAUUUACAGUGAUUGUUUUAAUAAAUGGCUUUCACAUCGAA